GUGACACUCAUCACAGGCACCUGUUCAGGUGAGGCGCUUCAGCUUAUUCUCGGGUGUUUAUUAUCAGCUCCAGUCUUCUUCUUUCCAAGACGCAUUUUUGAGAGUUUUGCGCCCCCUUGUGCGUGAAGAGCUUCCUCCGCACACACACAUAAACACACACGGACACAAAAUGGUGUCACUAGUUUGUACUCUUGGACAGCACACGGACGAGCUGAGCUGCUGCGCCUUCUCUCCGGCCCUGCUCGCCACCUGCUCCGCGGAUAAAACGCUCCGUGUUUACAGCACCGCAGAGUUCACCGAGCUCCCCUUCUCUCCUCUCUCCGGCCACGGAUAUGGCGUUCACUGCUGCUGUUUCAGCUCCUGUGGUCGCUUCCUGCUCAGCUGCUCCACAGACGGAUCCAUCAUCGUGUGGAGGUUGGACACAGGUGAGGCGGCGGAGGUGCUACAGCACCCGGGCCGCAGUCCACUCCGAGUGUGCGCACUGGCUCCGGUCUCCUCUCUGCUGCUGGCUGGAGCCUGCGAUGGCACCGUGGCUCUCUGGGACUUCUCCUGCAAGACACUGCGCAGAUGCAGCACAGUGAGCGAUGCCAGCGUCGUGGCUUGCUGCUUUUCUCCGUGUGGCCAGCUCUUCGUGACCGGCUGCAGCCGCGGAGACCUCAAACUGUGGGACGCCAACAUCAGCCUCCUGCAUGCGGAGAGGGACGCUCACGACAUGGGAGUCACCUGCUGCAGCGCCGCAGCCCGCUUCAGAGUGGUCGGCUGCUGUCUGGAGUUCCGAAUGGCCUCCUGUGGACAGGACAGCCAGCUGAAAAUAUGGAUCGUUUCCCAGCGUGAAGGAGCAGCCUUCGCCAUGAAGCUCCUUCACACGCUCACCACCCAUUUGGCUCCAGUCCUGUCUUGUGCUCUCUCUUCUGAUGGAGACCUGGUCGUCUCGGGUUCAGUGGAUAAAAGUAUUUUGAUUCAUGACGUGAACCAGGGAACCCUGCUCCACACUUUGAAGCAGCACAAUAGGUAUGUGACCGCUGUAGCUCUGUCUCCCAAUAAGCCGUGGAUUGCGACCGGCUCCAUGGACCGAACUGUGAAAGUUUGGAGAAUAGGAGAGGGAGACGGCACAACGGCAGCUGAGUCAAGUCAGACGGCGUGCCAAGGAAGGAAGUUGCCGGGUCACUUCAGGUUGCUGGUUGCCGAUUGGUCGGAGGAGGAUGUGCAGACAUGGUUGCACGAGGAAGGACUCGGGGAGCUCGUCGGCGUCUUCAAAGCCAACAACAUCGACGGACCAGAACUCGGCCAUCUGAGUAAGGAAACUGUCGCAGAGCUGGGAAUUGAGUCGGUGGGCCUCCGCGGUCGUCUCCUGAGGAAGAUCCAGGCCUUGAAGGCAGAGCACAGCGACUCUGAGGCUCCGGAUGAGUUUCUGUGUCCAAUCACGAGAGAGCUGAUGAAGGAUCCAGUCAUUGCUGCAGACGGUUAUUCCUACGAGCGAGAAUCCAUCGAGAGCUGGAUCAGAGGAAAGAACAGAACCAGCCCCAUGACGAAUCUGCUCCUACAGACUACACUUCUCACGCCCAACAGGUCGCUGAAGAUGGCAAUAGCACGAUGGCAGUCGAGCCUGUAAGCAGCAGCAGCAGCAGCAGCAGCUACUCGUUUUAGUGUUUGUCAGAAUCCACUGAACAGUGUCUGCAUGUGCGUGUGAGAUGGGUUGGAGGUGUGCCUGUUUGACUGAAUGACAUGUGUGAGUGAGUCUAGGUGGAUCCUGGGAGCUGAUUGUUCCUGCACAGGUGGAAUCCAGAGAAGAGGCCUGAACACCCCAGCAGCAGUGGACUCACUCAAACCACUCACAGCCACACUGCCAGCAGACAUUUUCUACUUGGUUUUAAUAAACCUUUGAAAUGAUGUGGUUUCUUGGGAGUUUGGAAGAGGGAGUCUCCUUAGUCUUCGUGCGAUCAGGUUUCCCCCUAGGCCUGCUCGUAACUAUUGUCCUCGGUGAUAUGAACGUCCACUUAGACAGUCCCUGCUCUUCAGACUUCCUAUCGCUGAUUCACUCCUUUGCACUGCAGCGGGUUCACAGCCCUCCAACUCACCACACUGCCAAAGACCUUGAUCUCAUUCUAACCACAAAUUGUUCCACAGACACUCACACUCACACCUUUACACUACUCUGACUACAAUUUUACAGCAGAGCAGCUUGGAAAUAUGGAACAUUAAUACACUGCAGGAAAGGGAAUGAUUGCACAUUACCUUGUACAGUAGGUUUCCCUCCUCCAUCAGCUUCUGAAGCAGAAUGAUCAGAAUAUCAGGUUUGGAAGUAGCCAUGGCCCAAGCAGCAUUCCCUGUAGGUGGAAAGGGGAAGGACACAAGUCAAGACAGAUUGGGUCAAGUGCUUGUCAUUGUUCCCAACACAUGGUCACUGUAUUCUCUGGAAAUUGGUACAAGGCAAAGUUACCUAAAGAUUGUACCUGAUCGAUCGUAAGGCGACGUUCGGUAGCCUUAGUUUAUUGAAAGCAGUUAAGAAAGAGUUAGAAUGGAGAGAGUGAGGAGAAAAUAGGUUUGACAACAAGAGCAGUCACUUAUGGUGGAAUGAAAAUGUGGCGUGCCAAUGUGCAAUUAUGUGUCACUCAAAUUCAAAUGGCCUUGUAUUUUCAGCUCUAAACACAUGCAGACUUAACUGUGCUGAAAGGAAAAUUUAAAGGUCCAACAUGCUGCUAAUUUAUUAGUUUUCUAGGACAGCAGAGUGCACUGCAGAUAAGCCAUGGAGUCGAUCUCCUCUAUGAAUGUCAUUUAGGUGAUAAGACACAUGCUUAAAUUAGCUGAGGAGCACAUGAGGAUGGACACACACACCGACAAGUUAAAUAGACAAAGUGUGCAAAGACACAAGCAGAACAGUGAGGGGGAAAAGCAGUAAUGGAAACAGUCACAGUGUUUGUUUGUUUUCCUUUACAACCUUCCACAUAAUGUCUUUUUAGUACCAUGAACACACUAAGCAGGUGAGACACAAACAUACUCAGUAACCAAACUAAUUACUGAGAGUAAUUAAAGUACACAAAGUCGUCUUCUUACCCAGCUUGGCCCCUUUCUUCAGCAGAGUCACCACCACCGACGUGUUCCUGCAGCCUAUGGCUCGGUCCAGUGGCCUCAUCCCACUGUGGUCAACAUGCUCGAUCACUGCUCCUCUUUCCACCAAGUACUGGACCUACACGAGAGCACGAGCGAGUUAAAAACACACCGUGUGUGUGUGUGUGAGAGUCGAGGGCGAGGCUAAUGUGGAACGACCUGUGCUCAAUGAGAGAACAGGGACACUCUCAUUCAAAGCUAAACAAACUAUGUGUCAGGCAUGUGAGCGCUACUACGAGAUGGGAUGUUUUCCACAAACUCUCCACUACUUUUACUCACAAUCUCGGCAUCGCCAUAAAAGGCAGCAAGGUCCAGCGGCGUCCGUCCGUUUUUGUCCGUGUGGUCAAUGACGGCGCCUUUCUCCACCAAAUACUGCACUACAUUCUUUUGUCCUUUUAAACAUGCCCAGCUCAGGGGCAUCAGUCCCUCCUUGUCCAUCGAUGUUAAGGAUGCACCUACAAGACAAACAAUACUUUUAUACAACAAUUUCAUUAUUCUCACCAACUGUCAUUGUCAUGGAUAUGUGAAUGUAUAACCUUUAUGAAUACAGGAUCCUUCAUUUACUGUGA